UACGUAGGGUGCAAGCGUUGUCCGGAAUUAUUGGGCGUAAAGAGCUCGUAGGCGGUUUGUCGCGUCUGCUGUGAAAACGCGAGGCUCAACCUCGCGCCUGCAGUGGGUACGGGCAGACUAGAGUGCGGUAGGGGCCCACGGAAUUCCUGGUGUAGCGGUGAAAUGCGCAGAUAUCAGGAGGAACACCGGUGGCGAAGGCGGUGGGCUGGGCCGGCACUGACGCUGAGGAGCGAAAGCGUGGGGAGCGAACAGG
rnacentral:rRNA from 1 species